rnacentral:lncRNA from 1 species
CUCUCAGCUUAUAUAUACCUGCAAACUGGUCUUGCACUGUACAGAACUUGAGUAUUGCUAGCCCACCACUAGACGAGAUCACUUAGAGAUCUAUUAAUGUGGCAGCUAAUCACAAUCACAAUGAUUUCCUUACAUGUUAAUCACAAUCACGUACAAAAACUUAGUACCUUCAGUGUCUAGCCAGCUAGCGGAUGGAACAGACAUAACACUUGGAUCAAAGGACUCUUACUGUGUUUGCAAAUCAUAAAAGGAAAAAAAUGAGUUAGUUCUCGAGCCAUUGAAGCUUAUAUUGUUGCCAGAGAGCCAUAUGGCACAACAAAAAGUCACCAAACACCCACACGAUGUUUGGAAUGAGGGGCACAAGGAAAGCAAACUGUUGAUUGGAGUUGAUGUCAGUAAUCGUG